GAACGGGCGCGCGCCCGGGCGGCUCCGUAAAAAAAAAAAAAAAAAGAAAAAAAAAGAAAGCGGUGAUCUCGGUGUGACAGCUCAGAGCUGUCCACGUCAACACACCGAGCGAGCACGGCGGCGGCGGCAGCGAUGGACUCCACGUCUCUGGAACCUUCCCUUUACACAGUGAAAGCAGUUUUCAUUCUUGACAAUGAUGGCAACAGACUUCUGUCAAAGUACUAUGACCCUGAGCUUUACCCCUCCAUGAAGGAACAGAAGAAUUUUGAGAGGAACAUUUUCAACAAGACACACAAAGCUGACAAUGAGAUAGCUUUCCUGGAGGGGAUGACCAUCGUCUAUAAGAGCAGCAUAGAUCUCUUCUUCUAUGUGGUGGGAAGUGCUCAGGAGAAUGAGCUGAUGCUGAUGUCGGUACUGAACUGCCUGUUUGAGUCCCUCAGUCAGAUCCUCAGGAAAAAUGUGGAGCGGAGGUGUUUACUGGACAACAUGGAGGGAGUGUUCUUGGUUGUGGAUGAAAUCAUUGAUGGAGGGGUAAUUCUGGAGAGUGACCCCCAGCAGGUCCUACAGAAGGUCAACUACAGGCUAAUGUCAGAGCCAGCCUAUGGCUUCGUCCUGUUUGAUUACAUCACCGGUAACGUAGAGGGACAAACAGACAAGAGCCAGCUGCUGUAGACAGACAGACAGACAGACACACAGAGGGCGGAUGAAAACCCAUUAUCUGAACAAAGUGUGGCCCAGGUUCUGCAGUCGGCCAAGGAGCAGAUUAAAUGGUCCAUACUGAAAUGACUUGGACCAGACAAAUGUAAUAUUCUCAAGAAAACAUUUUUAGUCCCAAAGCUAUUUUUUUAUAGUGACACACUAAAGGGAAGGUUGUUACAAGCCUGUAGGCCAAUAAGCUUAUAGCUUUAUAUAGCAAUUAACCAGCCAGUAAUAGAAUUAGAUUUCUAUGUGUAAUGGCAUUUUGUUACAUUGUGUGUGACAUGAAAUUAAUUUAUUUGGUUUUGGAUUGAUGUUGGUUCAUACUCGUGUAGAUUUGUCAUGAGGAAAUGAAGGAGGAAGUGAAAGCUCGGCUCUCAGUGUCCAGCUGUGCUUCUGUAAAAGGCAGUUAGUACCAAACUAAUCAAUGAAAAUACUGGAAGCCUGAUCAGCGAUCAGUAAUCUAUUGCUUUUAUUUGGGUGGAGCAGGAUUUUCCACUCUUACUUACUCAAAACUGAAUAUGACUUUGGGGUUUAUUUGCAUAUACUGCUAAUAUGCAUAAUUUGAAAGUUACAGUUUUUUUUAUUAACUUUUUUUUCCGCCAAAAUGUUACACAUGGAACAACUGGGCUAAAUCUAGCCCAUGAUAGGAUGCCAGGUCCCCAGACCACUUCCUAAUUCACAAUGAAAAUAAAACUGAUUCACACUUGGAUUGUUUUGCACUUUUAAUUUGAAUAAGGGGCCAAAGUGCAUUAAAAAAUGCCAAGAGAGAACCCCCUGGAUAACCCAACAUAGUUCCAGGCUAAGCUGCACAUGUCCUCAAAUCUGUGAUCACCUCGGGCAAGUGGAGUAUCCCUGAUCUAACAAAUUAUUUGGAAAAUAAGAACAGAAGCAGAAAAAAACAAAACAAACAAAACACCAGCAGAUACUCGCAAAUUCAAGCUAAAAAGCUGAAUAUCACAUAAGAAAUUUUUACCACAUUAUUUUACAGGGGUGGUGUUAAAUUCACUCACACACUGACAUCAUUUGUGCACUGAAAUGCUCACUUUUGUUGUUCCUUACAUGACACUUGCGGUACAUGUGUUUCGUAGAAUUUAUCUGAAGACUGUAAAGGAAUGUAAUGAUGCCUUAUGACACUAAACAACUAUUCUAGCACCAUGUGUACGAGGAAACAUGUUACUGUUGCACCGUCAGCAAAACCCUCAUUUUCCUAAAGGUGGAAUUCCCUUAUAAAGGUAAAUUAGUAUCUGUACAGAUAAUUGAUCUGAGAGUCAAAGGGACCUUGAAGAGUUCUAAAGAAUUAUGUCUAUUUUCUGAGACUGAAAGAGGUUCAUAGAUAUUAAUUAUUUUCUUAGUUGAAAAGAAGAGGAAAAAGAAAACCAAAGACACUGUUUACAUUUGGAUGUUGUUGAAACAGACUGCAUGGUGUCAGAUGUAGGGCGUUUUGUCUGUCCACCAUAUGUGACACUGAUAAUAAAAUAUUUGUCCUGGA